ensembl:lncRNA
AUCAGUGCCAGAUUCAGCAACUUGCAGGAAGCCCCCCUAUCCUCUGGGGGCAAAAAGACUAAAUUACAGUAGAUUCAGGGCACUGGAAACUACAGCCUCAUCAUUCAGCCUUGUCCAUGUGGCACAGUGGUGAAGAAUCCACUUGUUAAUGCAGGAGAUACCCUGGGUCAGGAAGAUCCCUGAAGAAGGAAGUGGCAACUCACUCCAGUAUUCUUGCUUGAAAGAUUCCAUGGACAGAAGAGCCUGGCAGGGUCACAGAGCCAUGGACUGGGGUCACAAGAGAGUCAAGACUCGACUGAACAGCAGCAGCAUGGCAGAACCUAACACGAGGAUAAUUAUCCUCCAAUUAAAAGUAAAUAAAAAGGAAAGCCCUCCAAUUGAUUUUGAUUUUGAAGAUUGAGAACCGUUGCCAUAUAUUAACUAUAGUUCUCAACCUUGUUCCCUCAUGGCCACUGUAAUUCCUAACAUAGUGUCCCAAACUUAGUAGAUACUUGAUUAUUUGACUUGAGAGCACAGGUAUACUUUGUCAGGGCCUGCAGCACCUGUAAGACAUCAUCCAUCUGGUAAGAGACUACGUGGGAAGAAGAGACUAAAAUGUUUGAGAUUCUUUUCUUUCCCUCUUUUAUAACAC